rnacentral:rRNA from 7 species
UUAAGUUAAUAAGGGCGCACGGUGGAUGCCUUGGCACUAGGAGCCGACGAAGGACGUGACAAACGACGAUAUGCCUUGGGUAGCUGUAAGUAAGCGAUGAUCCAGGGAUUUCCGAAUGGGGGAACCCAACAGGUAAUACCUGUUACCUACAUCUGUUAAGGAUGUGAGGAGGAAGACGCAGUGAACUGAAACAUCUAAGUAGCUGCAGGAAGAGAAAGCAAAAGCGAUUGCCUUAGUAGCGGCGAGCGAAACGGCAGAAGGGCAAACCGAAGAGUUUACUCUUCGGGGUUGUAGGACUGCAAUGUGGACUCAAAGAUUAUAGAAGAAUGAUUUGGGAAGAUCAGCCAAAGAGAGUAAUAGCCUCGUAUUUAAAAUAGUCUUUGUACUUAGCAGUAUCCUGAGUACGGCGGGACACGUGAAAUCCCGUCGGAAUCUGGGAGGACCAUCUCCCAACCCUAAAUACUCCCUAGUGACCGAUAGUGAACCAGUACCGUGAGGGAAAGGUGAAAAGCACCCCGGGAGGGGAGUGAAAUAGAACCUGAAACCGUGUGCCUACAACAAGUUCGAGCCCGUUAAUGGGUGAGAGCGUGCCUUUUGUAGAAUGAACCGGCGAGUUACGUUAUGAUGCGAGGUUAAGUUGAAGAGACGGAGCCGUAGGGAAACCGAGUCUGAAUAGGGCGCCUUAGUAUCAUGACGUAGACCCGAAACCAUGUGACCUACCCAUGAGCAGGUUGAAGGUGCGGUAAGACGCACUGGAGGACCGAACCAGGGCACGUUGAAAAGUGCUUGGAUGACUUGUGGGUAGCGGAGAAAUUCCAAACGAACUUGGAGAUAGCUGGUUCUCUCCGAAAUAGCUUUAGGGCUAGCGUCGACAUUAGAGAUUCUUGGAGGUAGAGCACUGUUUGGGUGAGGGGUCCAUCCCGGAUUACCAAUCUCAGAUAAACUCCGAAUGCCAAUGAAUUAUGGUCGGCAGUCAGACUGCGAGUGCUAAGAUCCGUAGUCGAAAGGGAAACAGCCCAGACCACCAGCUAAGGUCCCAAAAUAAUUGUUAAGUGGAAAAGGAUGUGGGGUUGCACAGACAACUAGGAUGUUAGCUUAGAAGCAGCUAUUCAUUCAAAGAGUGCGUAAUAGCUCACUAGUCGAGUGACCCUGCGCCGAAAAUGUACCGGGGCUAAAACAAUUUACCGAAGCUGUGGAUACCUUUAUAGGUAUGGUAGGAGAGCGUUCUAUGUGUGAUGAAGGUAUACCGUGAGGAGUGCUGGAACGCAUAGAAGUGAGAAUGCCGGUAUGAGUAGCGAAAGACAGGUGAGAAUCCUGUCCACCGUAAGACUAAGGUUUCCAGGGGAAGGCUCGUCCGCCCUGGGUUAGUCGGGACCUAAGGAGAGACCGAAAGGUGUAUCCGAUGGACAACAGGUUGAUAUUCCUGUACUAGAGUAUGUAGUGAUGGAGGGACGCAGUAGGCUAACUAAAGCAGACGAUUGGAAGAGUCUGUCUAAGCAGUGAGGUGUGAAUUGAGUCAAAUGCUUAAUUCUAUAACAUUGAGCUGUGAUGGGGAGCGAAGUUUAGUAGCGAAGUUAGUGACGUCACACUGCCAAGAAAAGCUUCUAGCGUUUAAACAUACUCUACCCGUACCGCAAACCGACACAGGUAGUCGAGGCGAGUAGCCUCAGGUGAGCGAGAGAACUCUCGUUAAGGAACUCGGCAAAAUGACCCCGUAACUUCGGGAGAAGGGGUGCUGACUUAAAGUCAGCCGCAGUGAAUAGGCCCAAGCAACUGUUUAUCAAAAACACAGCUCUCUGCUAAAUCGUAAGAUGAUGUAUAGGGGGUGACGCCUGCCCGGUGCUGGAAGGUUAAGAGGAGUGCUUAGCGUAAGCGAAGGUAUGAAUUGAAGCCCCAGUAAACGGCGGCCGUAACUAUAACGGUCCUAAGGUAGCGAAAUUCCUUGUCGGGUAAGUUCCGACCCGCACGAAAGGCGUAAUGAUUUGGGCACUGUCUCAACGAGAGACUCGGUGAAAUUUUAGUACCUGUGAAGAUGCAGGUUACCCGCGACAGGACGGAAAGACCCCAUGGAGCUUUACUGCAGUUUGAUAUUGAGUGUCUGUACCACAUGUACAGGAUAGGUAGGAGUCUAAGAGAUCGGGACGCCAGUUUCGAAGGAGACGCUGUUGGGAUACUACCCUUGUGUUAUGGCCACUCUAACCCAGAUAGGUGAUCCCUAUCGGAGACAGUGUCUGACGGGCAGUUUGACUGGGGCGGUCGCCUCCUAAAAGGUAACGGAGGCGCCCAAAGGUUCCCUCAGAAUGGUUGGAAAUCAUUCGCAGAGUGUAAAGGUAUAAGGGAGCUUGACUGCGAGAGCUACAACUCGAGCAGGGACGAAAGUCGGGCUUAGUGAUCCGGUGGUUCCGUAUGGAAGGGCCAUCGCUCAACGGAUAAAAGCUACCCUGGGGAUAACAGGCUUAUCUCCCCCAAGAGUUCACAUCGACGGGGAGGUUUGGCACCUCGAUGUCGGCUCGUCGCAUCCUGGGGCUGUAGUCGGUCCCAAGGGUUGGGCUGUUCGCCCAUUAAAGCGGCACGCGAGCUGGGUUCAGAACGUCGUGAGACAGUUCGGUCCCUAUCCGUCGCGGGCGUAGGAAAUUUGAGAGGAUCUGCUCCUAGUACGAGAGGACCAGAGUGGACUUACCGCUGGUGUACCAGUUGUCUUGCCAAAGGCAUCGCUGGGUAGCUAUGUAGGGAAGGGAUAAACGCUGAAAGCAUCUAAGUGUGAAACCCACCUCAAGAUGAGAUUUCCCAUGAUUAUAUAUCAGUAAGAGCCCUGAGAGAUGAUCAGGUAGAUAGGUUAGAAGUGGAAGUGUGGCGACACAUGUAGCGGACUAAUACUAAUAGCUCGAGGACUUAUCCAA